UGGGGAAUUUUGGACAAUGGGCGCAAGCCUGAUCCAGCAAUGCCGUGUGGGUGAAGAAGGCCUUCGGGUUGUAAAGCCCUUUUAGUAGAGACAAAAAAGCCGAAACUAAUAUUUUCGGAAAUUGAUGGUAUCUGCAGAAAAAGCACCGGCUAACUCUGUGCCAGCAGCCGCGGUAAUACAGAGGGUGCGAGCGUUAAUCGGAAUUACUGGGCGUAAAGCGUACGUAGGUGGUUGAAAAAGUCAGGUGUGAAAUCCCCAAGCUCAACUUGGGAAUUGCGCUUGAUACUAUUCGACUCGAGUUUGGUAGAGGGAGGUGAAAUUCCAGGUGUAGCGGUGAAAUGCGUAGAGAUCUGGAGGAACACCAGUGGCGAAGGCGGCCUCCUGGACCGAAACUGACACUGAGGUACGACAGCGUGGGGAGCAAACAGG
rnacentral:rRNA from 1 species